rnacentral:lncRNA from 1 species
ACCACCCACAGCUAUUCUCAAACACUCGAUUUUCCUCCAAACACCUAUAUAUAUCCCUUCGCUCGACUCUUCUCCUUACUGGCAGUCAUCACUUCUAAACUUUCAUAGCUUGAAUUAUAAGGUUUUAAAGCUUUGAACCAAAGCCAUGGCCACCUUGCCUGCUCUCUCUCUACCACUUGCUACCCUCACGCUCUCUCUGCUCCUCUUGUUUCACUCCUCCGCAGCUGCCCCCAGAAAGCUUAUCCAGGUCUAGCAGCAGCUCUUAGUCCUUAAGUACC